UACAGAGGUGGCAAGCGUUGUUCGGAAUUACUGGGCGUAAAGGGCGCGUAGGCGGUUCGUUAAGUCAGGGGUGAAAUCCCGAGGCUCAACCUCGGAACUGCCUUUGAUACUGGGGAUCUCGAGUCCGGGAGAGGUGAGUGGAACUGCGAGUGUAGAGGUGAAAUUCGUAGAUAUUCGCAAGAACACCAGUGGCGAAGGCGGCUCACUGGCCCGGAACUGACGCUGAGGUGCGAAAGCGUGGGGAGCAAACAGG
rnacentral:rRNA from 1 species